GACGAACGCUGGCGGCGUGCCUAAUACAUGCAAGUAGAACGCUGAAGAGAGGAGCUUGCUCUUCUUGGGUGAGUUGCGAACGGGUGAGUAACGCGUAGGUAACCUGCCUUGUAGCGGGGGAUAACUAUUGGAAACGAUAGCUAAUACCGCAUAACAAUGGAUGACACAUGUCAUUUAUUUGAAAGGGGCAAUUGUUCCACUACAAGAUGGACCUGCGUUGUAUUAGCUAGUAGGUGAGGUAAUGGCUCACCUAGGCGACGAUACAUAGCCGACCUGAGAGGGUGAUCGGCCACACUGGGACUGAGACACGGCCCAGACUCCUACGGGAGGCAGCAGUAGGGAAUCUUCGGCAAUGGGGGCAACCCUGACCGAGCAACGCCGCGUGAGUGAAGAAGGUUUUCGGAUCGUAAAGCUCUGUUGUAAGUCAAGAACGGGUGUGAGAGUGGAAAGUUCACACUGUGACGGUAGCUUACCAGAAAGAGACGGCUAACUACGUG
rnacentral:rRNA from 1 species